rnacentral:rRNA from 1 species
GAUGAACGCUGGCGGCGUGCCUAAUACAUGCAAGUCGAGCGAACGGACGAGAAGCUUGCUUCUCUGAUGUUAGCGGCGGACGGGUGAGUAACACGUGGAUAACCUACCUAUAAGACUGGGAUAACUUCGGGAAACCGGAGCUAAUACCGGAUAAUAUUUUGAACCGCAUGGUUCAAAAGUGAAAGACGGUCUUGCUGUCACUUAUAGAUGGAUCCGCGCUGCUUUAGCUAGUUGGUAAGGUAACGGCUUACCAAGGCAACGAUGCGUAGCCGACCUGAGAGGGUGAUCAGCCACACUGGAACUGAGACACGGUCCAGACUCCUACGGGAGGCAGCAGUAGGGAAUCUUCCGCAAUGGGCGAAAGCCUGACGGAGCAACGCCGCGUGAGUGAUGAAGGUCUUCGGAUCGUAAAACUCUGUUAUUAGGGAAGAACAUGAGUAUGAGUAACUGUGCACAUCUUGACGGUACCUAAACAGAAAGCCACGGCUAACUACGUG